CCCAUAUGCACAACCUCUUCAUAUCCAUACCCAGUUUAUCUCGAUGCUUCGCCUCCUUCCCCACCGCCUAUCUUCUCCAUUGUUCCUCACAUAUUCGAUGGUCAGCUUUUCUAUCGAUUCAUUCUCACGGUCAUUGUCUACUUCUUGCCUUCUCCGUUGUUACACAAAAAAGCAAUCGGCUUCGGAUUUGCUUCAAAGAGUAAACAUCCCAGAAUCUGUUCUCCCGGUAAAUCACCACACACCCUCAUCGGCAUGCAGCUGUUUGUCUUAGUUCUCCAUUCAUUCCUCUAUCCACAGGCGCAGUAAAAAAGGUACACUCUUCUUCUUCCCUGAUUCGUCGUUUCCAUGUAAUGGUUACACUUUCAUAAACACCAUUUUUUUGGUGAUAGGGCUUGAUUCGCCAACAAUGGCGAUUUCCCCACAAUCACUCACGCCUUUAAAUAGAUUUUUACGUCUCUUGUCUCUAUCGCUUCAAUCUUCAGCUAUGCAAACGAAAUUUUCUACCAUGUAGCUAUUUUUUUUUUCUACCGGUGCUCAAUCCUUUUGACAAACACCAAAACAGAAGACCAAAACACCCCAAAAAGACUUUUAUUAGUUUAUAGACUUGGACAUCAUGGAAAUUUGUGUCGUCUGAAAAGGAUUAUAUACGUAGAUAUUAUUAAGAAUUUAAAUAUAAUUUAAAUUAUUAAGCAAAUCUAGACCAUUUACUUGGAAGAAUAGCCAAUAAUCCUGAUUUGAAAAUGAAAUCAUAACGAGUCAGUCUUCAGUUUAAUUUUUUAUGUCUUUUUUAAUUUCAUUUACUAAAACUGAAAAUAUGAAAUUUAAUUGUAUCAUUAACCUAAACCUUUUUAACUGAGACUAGAAGAACAUGUCUGAGUUGGACUAAAGAUGGAUAUAAAGUUAUAGCUUUUGAUGGGAUGUUAUUAACCAAAGUUGGUACCAUGACUGGUGAUACAAGUUGUGGAAUGGUACAAAAGUUACUUAAAUGAGAUUAUGAGAAAAUAGAAUGACGUUUGCAUUACUGAAUAUGCUUUAUAAUCCAAGAUCCCAAGAUGCUAUUGAAAGUGAUGACCUUCAGUUUUUGGAAUGGCACAAAGGAGGAAGAAUGUUUCACAAAUUGGCAGGCAUUGAUCCCACUCAAAUAAUAGAUUUUGGUGCAGUAGUCAAGCAUUCAUGGUCUCUUGUGGGUGGUAAUGGUCAUGUAGGAUCAGGAGUUGUAAUUAGGCCCAAUGUCACAAUUGGUCGAUCCACGAACAUAGGGUAUAAUGUUGCAUUGGCUAAUUACACGAUUGGUGAGUCAUGUGUCAUCCAUCAUGGAGACUGCAUUGCUGAAUAUGCUAAUUAAGAUCAAUUUCAUUGAACAAAAUGUAGUAAUCUGCAUUCGUUCCCAAUAAUAUUGUCUUUCAUUUUUCACAUUUCAUUUUUAAUUUUUUUCUAUUUUUUUUAUUAUUCUGUAUGCUCUUAUAGAAUAAUGUUGAGAUUGGUGCAAAUUCAUGCAUUGAUAGAGGCAAGUCAGUUUAUAUUGUUUUCUAUUUACAAGUUAAUACACUUUGAGCCUUGAUGUUUCUAAUUAUACAAAAUGACAUAUCUACCCUUUGUGUAGUUGGAGGGAUGAUAAUAUUUUGAAAAAGACGGUUUCCUAUUUAUGUUUAUGCCAACUUACAGUUUAAUGAACAACAGGAUGAAAUAAACACGAUUUUCGUAACUUUGUAAACAAUUUUAUUGUUUUGUAGAUCUCUAGAGAUGGUGAAAUAACUGGAUCUCAUCAUUUUAAGCCUAUCACGUUUUUGUGAGGUAGAGCUACUGACAGGUUCAUUGUCCGAAUGUAUACAUUGACUUUUCCAAUAUAUGUUAUAAUCAAUUUGUUUACUAUUUUCCCCAGUUAAUUCUAUCCUAUCAUUGCAAAAUAAUUAAUACGUGAGAAUAUAGUUUCGGUUUCUAUUUUCCAAACGUUUUCACUGAAUAACUGAAUUGCUUGGUUUUAGUGUUCAUUUGGUUGAACUAAAAGAUACGGAUGAAUAUUUUGCUAUGAAAGCUGGCUGUAAUGAUAAACCGUAAUAAGGUAUGUCUGUAAAAUAAUAUUCCUUUUUUUUAUAUUAUGAUUUCAAAAUUAAAACUUUUUGAAAUUUGAUUUUUGUUAUGUAAAUAACUAAUGUGUUGUAAAUUGAUUUUAAUUAUGGUAUUAUCAUCAUAAGUUGUACUCGAGUAGAUAAAAAUGACAAGUGUUAUAAGUUUCAUAGAUCAUACUUUAGAUUUUUUUUUCAUGCUUGACUUUCAUAUUUCUUUAAAGUACACACAAAUACAAUAGCAUGCGGUAACAUUUCUUUUAAAAUAUACCAUAAUCUUAUCAAUUUUUUUAAACGUAGCAUUUCUAUUUUUGGGAAAAUAAGAUGGAACUCUGUUUGUGAAUAAAGGAUACAUUGAGACACCAUGUACUUCAAGAUAGAUGAGGGUGAGUGAAAUUAUAUUUGUGAUGGUGGUAAGAUAUACAUUUCUCAAUUGAUCUACUUAUUAUAGGUUGUGUUACUUUUAAAAAGAUGCAAACUUCUAUUAAAUAUCUAAAUUAAGAAGACAUUAUCAGUUGAGAUGAUGAUUUUGUUUGUAAACUGUAAUUAAUAAUUUCUCUCAGUGACUAAAAUCUUGGAUAUAAUGCAUUGCUACUUCGGUCUGAAGACUUUUAACAAAAUUGAAAUGGAAGAAGUCAAAAAAUUCAACACUACUUUUGGGAUUAAAAGCUAUCUCAAAUGUCCACAAGAUGUAUAGAAGAUGAAAA